AUUGAACGCUGGCGGCAGGCCUAACACAUGCAAGUCGAGCGGAUGAAGGGAGCUUGCUCCUGGAUUCAGCGGCGGACGGGUGAGUAAUGCCUAGGAAUCUGCCUGGUAGUGGGGGAUAACGUCCGGAAACGGGCGCUAAUACCGCAUACGUCCUGAGGGAGAAAGUGGGGGAUCUUCGGACCUCACGCUAACAGAUGAGCCUAGGUCGGAUUAGCUAGUUGGUGGGGUAAAGGCCUACCAAGGCGACGAUCCGUAACUGGUCUGAGAGGAUGAUCAGUCACACUGGAACUGAGACACGGUCCAGACUCCUACGGGAGGCAGCAGUGGGGAAUAUUGGACAAUGGGCGAAAGCCUGAUCCAGCCAUGCCGCGUGUGUGAAGAAGGUCUUCGGAUUGUAAAGCACGUUAAGUUGGGAGGAAGGGCAGUAAGUUAAUACCUUGCUGUUUUGACGGUACCAACAGAAUAAGCACCGGCUAACUUCGUG
rnacentral:rRNA from 1 species